rnacentral:misc_RNA from 1 species
AUCAAAAUAAAAAUAAAAACACGCGCUCUGCUCCGAACCUCAGGUCCUCAACUGAAUAACCUAACGCCUGGCAUAUUUAUAGAUCUACAAUUAAAGCGUGUAUGUGAAAUCCUUCCUAUACGCUGUCUGCAUGUGAAUAAUCCAAUCAAGUUAGGGCACAAGUUUGAGGCGGUGGACGGCGACUGCUCCACCUGAAUGACUGAAUCCUCCGUGGUCGGCUUCGACGGCAAAAUUCUGGUGCUUGAUGUACACAUAAAGACAAUUCAUGUGUACUGAUUCUUCAAAGCGAGUCAAGAGUCCCUUCAGUGCCAUAGCAG